UACGAAGGGGGCUAGCGUUGCUCGGAAUCACUGGGCGUAAAGCGCACGUAGGCGGAUUGUUAAGUCAGGGGUGAAAUCCUGGAGCUCAACUCCAGAACUGCCUUUGAUACUGGCGAUCUCGAGUCCGGGAGAGGUGAGUGGAACUCCGAGUGUAGAGGUGAAAUUCGUAGAUAUUCGGAAGAACACUAGUGGCGAAGGCGGCUCACUGGCCCGGUACUGACGCUGAUGUGCGAAAGCGUGGGGAGCAAACAGG
rnacentral:rRNA from 1 species